rnacentral:rRNA from 1 species
CUACGGGUUGCAGCAGUGGGGAAUAUUGCACAAUGGAGGAAACUCUGAUGCAGCAACGCCGCGUGGAGGAUGACACUUUUCGGAGCGUAAACUCCUUUUAUAUAGGAAGAAGAUGACGGUACUAUAUGAAUAAGCGCCGGCUAACUCCGUGCCAGCAGCCGCGGUAAUACGGAGGGCGCAAGUGUUACUCGGAAUCACUGGGCGUAAAGAGCGUGUAGGCGGAUUAAAAAGUCAGAAGUGAAAUCCUAUAGCUUAACUAUAGAACUGCUUCUGAAACUCUUAAUCUAGAAUAUGGGAGAGGUAGAUGGAAUUUCUGGUGUAGGGGUAAAAUCCGUAGAGAUCAGAAGGAAUACCGAUUGCGAAGGCGAUCUACUAGAACAUUAUUGACGCUGAGACGCGAAGGCGUGGGGAGCAAACAGGAUUAGAUACCCCCGUAGUC